AUGAGAGAAAAGCAACCAAGACAGCUGCACAGAGCAAAAGCCUCCCGAGUGCUCGGAUUACAGACUUGUGCCGCCAUGCCUGUGUUGGAACAGAAUUUAGCGUCUCUCUCACACCUGCUCUCCAGAAUUCUGCAGGUGCUGAGAUCACAAAAAGAAACCAGAUGGAUCAAGCCCCAGCCCAGGAGGAGUUUGGUGUAAAAGCAGCAAUUCCUAUCCAAGUCCUGAAGCAGGCCACAGAGGAACCGAACCCAGGCUGGACAAGCAGUAAAGUGCAGGUGGGAACGGCUUUCCAGAGAAGGAAGCCAAAGAAAGGCGUGACUGGCACUGUGAACGUCCCAAAGGCAGUACUGAGGGAGUGAAUGCAACUUAGAAGACUGGGUUCAGCCCCUAGUCCCAAAGGGGGUGGGGGAGAAGGCCAGUAAGAGCCACUUAACAUACAUUUAUUCUUGAGUUUUAAAAAGGGAAGGAUGGGCCGGGGAUAUAGCUGAGGCACAAGCACCUGCCUGGCAAGCACAAGGUCCUGAGUUCGAUUCCCGGUACCAAAAAAAUAAUAAUAAAUACAAAAGGAAGGAUUAGGCAGUAGGCAUUUGGGAAUCUCAAGAACAUGCAGUCAUGAGGGUGAACUGUUUCUCCUACCUGACUGCUUAUUAUUACUGUCGGAAACACAACAGAUCUCCUACUCUACCAAGUUGGACUGAGAGUCAGUGUAGCACUCGGAAUCUCACAACAGGGGCUUCGUCCCUGUACAGCAUAACAUGGUUUACAAGAACUAAGCCAACACCAGGAAUGUAGCGGUGCAGCGCCUGCCUGCAAGCACAAGGCCCUGAGUUCAAUUCCUGACCCACCAUGGAAAAAAAAAACUAAGCCAACUUUCCAAAAUCUGUAGAUUUAAACAAAACAGGGUGAUAAAAAGGAUUCUUUUUGCGUUGUUGAGGCUGGAAGCCAGGGCCUUGCACAUCCAAGGCAAGUGCUCUACCUUGAAGCUACACCCUCGGCCCAAAGCGAGUAUUUUUACCAGUGAGUGUGUUAUGACAUACACGGUUCCUUCCAAAAUCCCCAGUAAAAUGUUAAGCUACACCUAGUAAAAGAAAGCUGUUAAUCAGCAAGACAACAGCGCCACCCUGUGUUAAAACGACCUUCAUUACACCCAUAAUGUUACUGCUAAUAAGAUCACACAAAGGGAUUCUAAUUACAGAAUAUAGCUUUAUUUAAUCUUACAAAUAAAACAUUUACAGUCCAUAUAACAUAAGUUACCUUCUUCUCUAAUUCUUCUCGUAACACCUGAGUUAUUUAAAAUAAUACUGUGAUGGAACUGCAGAACUGUAAAGGGAAAUUUAUAAAAACAAACCUCUCUCUUUUGCAAAAAUCAGAUUUUUUUUCCUUAUAAAGCAGAUUUCCAGCACAUUAUCAUCUCUUUGGAGAAGGACUUACUAAAAAUAGAUCUCAGGCUACCCAAACAGAAAAAAAUUUUUAUGUAGUACUGGGGAUCAAACACAGGGGUGCUCUAUCACUGAGUUGUAUCCCCAGCC